UUCCCUACGGGUGGCAGCAGUAAGGAAUAUUGGUCAAUGGGCGAAAGCCUGAACCAGCCAUCCCGCGUGCAGGAUGAAGGUCCUAUGGAUUGUAAACUGCUUUUAUCAGGGAAGAAACGCCUUCAUUGAUGGGGGUCUGACGGUACCUGAGGAAUAAGCACCGGCUAACUCCGUGCCAGCAGCCGCGGUAAUACGGAGGGUGCGGGCGUUAUCCGGACUCACUGGGUUUAAAGGGUGCGUAGGCGGGGAAUUAAGUCAGUGGUGAAAGCCUGGAGCUUAACGAUAGAAUUGCCAUUGAUACUGAUUUUCUUGAAUUGGGUUGAGGUUAGCGGAAUGUGAGAUGUAGCGGUGAAAUGCAUAGAGAUGUCAUGGAACACCAAUUGCGAAGGCAGCUAGCUGGGCCUUGAUUGACGCUGAGGCACGAAAGCGUGGGUAGCGAACAGGAUUAGAUACCCCAGUAGUC
rnacentral:rRNA from 1 species